rnacentral:rRNA from 1 species
AUUGAACGCUGGCGGCAGGCCUAACACAUGCAAGUCGAACGAGUGGCGGACGGGUGAGUAAUGUCUGGGAAACUGCCUGAUGGAGGGGGAAACUAAUGGAAAAGGUAGCCAAUAACGCAUAGCAACAGGAGGGGCCAAGUGGGAUUAGCUAGUUGGUGGGGUAAAGGGUCAACAAGGCGACGAUCCCUAGCUGGUCUGAGAGGAUGACCAGCCACACUGGAACUGAGACACGGUCCAGACUCCUACGGGAGGCAGCAGUGGGGAAUAUUGCACAAUGGGCGCAAGCCUGAUGCAGCCAUGCCGCGUGUAUGAAGAAGGCCUUCGGGUUGUAAAGUACUUUCAGCGGGGAGGCGUUACCCGCAGAAGAAGCACCGGCUAACUCCGUGCCAGCAGCCGCGGUAAUAC